UUUAGCUUAGGGGGAAAGAGCAGUUAGACCUAUGAUUUCAAGGCAGAAAUUAAGCAACCGCGAACCCGGCUUGAGUAACCUAAAAAACCUAAAGUUACAGGGUUCAUAGCACACUCUGAUUCUUUUCUCUUGAUCUUGAUGGAGGCUGUAAUGGAGUAACACACGGAUACAGCAUCUUUUUAUUCCAAAAAAAAAAAAAAGCAAAAUUA